ACACCUCAACUCUUGUGGUUUGCCAUGAUGAGCUUAGGCUCUACAGGUUUUGCUGGUCUUUCCAAUUGGCUCCUCUCAAAUGAAUCAGCUUGCCAGUAUCUGGUGGCAUCAUGGAUGUGAUAACUAUCUAUGCUCAGAGCCAUCCACCAGGUAACCUUCAGUGAUGGAGGUUUACUGGGGGUCACAAAUGGGGGACAGCUUUUUGAAU
rnacentral:misc_RNA from 2 species